CUUGUUUUGGAGGGAACAAGAAAUAGAAGAGAUGCUUCGGAAGUAAAAGUUGUCAAUGACAAGCCUGACAUCACCCAGAUGAUAAUUCAAAGGCCAGCUCUUUUUACAGUAAACCAGGAUGCAGCUGACAAGACAGACUCCAGUACGAAUCCUCAGCGUUGAUCAAGAAAGUCCACAGCUCAAAACCCAUCUAGAGUGGAAAUCAUCUUGGAAGAAAAUUUUGUAAUGGAUGGACUGACCGAUCUCAGGCCUUCUGUGUCCAUUGUUUUCAGACUGAUUUAUGCCCUGCACCUGGACUAAGUGUAUGAAAAGCACUUUAUAUUUUACUCAGCAGGUAAUGCUCAACCUCAGAAAAGGUGAGUUAGCACCUAAAAUUCAGUACUGCCAAAAUUGUGAACCGAGAGUGGAAUAAAACCAUAAAAGGUUUGUUAAACUA